GUGGGGAAUCUUAGACAAUGGGCGCAAGCCUGAUCUAGCCAUGCCGCGUGAGCGAUGAAGGCCUUAGGGUUGUAAAGCUCUUUCAGGGGGGAAGAUAAUGACGGUACCCCCAGAAGAAGCCCCGGCUAACUCCGUGCCAGCAGCCGCGGUAAUACGGAGGGGGCUAGCGUUGUUCGGAAUUACUGGGCGUAAAGCGCACGUAGGCGGACCAGAAAGUCAGGGGUGAAAUCCCGGGGCUCAACCCCGGAACUGCCUUUGAAACUCCUGGUCUUGAGGUCGAGAGAGGUGAGUGGAAUUCCGAGUGUAGAGGUGAAAUGCGUAGAUAUUCGGAGGAACACCAGUGGCGAAGGCGGCUCACUGGCUCGAUACUGACGCUGAGGUGCGAAAGCGUGGGGAGCAAACAGGAUUAGAUACCCGAGUAGUCC
rnacentral:rRNA from 1 species